UAAACAAAACCUAAUUUUAUAGGGUUACAGUGAUAGUGUAAUUAAGUGUAUUAACCACUUGUUUAA
rnacentral:tRNA from 2 species